rnacentral:rRNA from 2 species
CGCGUGGUGCUAUUUUGUUGGUUUCUAGAACCGCCGUAAUGAUUAAUAGGGAUAGUUGGGGGCAUUAGUAUUCAAUUGUCAGAGGUGAAAUUCUUGGAUUUAUUGAAGACUAACUUCUGCGAAAGCAUUUGCCAAGGAUGUUUUCAUUAAUCAAGAACGAAAGUUAGGGGAUCGAAGACGAUCAGAUACCGUCGUAGUCUUAACCAUAAACUAUGCCGACUAGGAAUCGGGCGAUGUUAUUCUCAUGACUCGCCCGGCGCCUUAUGGGAAACCAAAGUUUUUGGGUUCCGGGGGGAGUAUGGUCGCAAGGCUGAAACUUAAAGGAAUUGACGGAAGGGCACCACCAGGGGUGGAGCCUGCGGCUUAAUUUGACUCAACACGGGGAAACUCACCAGGUCCAGA